CUACGGGAGGCUGCAGUGAGGAAUAUUGGGCAAUGGGCGAAAGCCUGACCCAGCAACGCCGCGUGAAGGAUGAAUGUCGUAAGAUUGUAAACUUCUUUUGGAGGGGAUGAAAAAACAGGUUUGUAGCCUGAAUUGACGGUACCCUCAGAAUAAGCCCCGGCUAACUACGUGCCAGCAGCCGCGGUAAUACGUAGGGGGCAAGCGUUGUCCGGAUUUACUGGGUGUAAAGGGCGCGCAGGCGGGUUUGUCAGUCAGGGGUGAAAUCCUACAGCUUAACUGUAGAACUGCCUUUGAUACUGCAAACCUUGAGUACGGAAGAGAGAGGCGGAAUUCCAGGUGUAGUGGUGAAAUACGUAGAUAUCUGGAAGAACACCAGAGGCGAAGGCGGUCUCUUGGUCCGUUACUGACGCUGAGGCGCGAAAGCGUGGGGAGCAAACAGGAUUAGAUACCCCGGUAGUC
rnacentral:rRNA from 1 species